UACGGGGGGAGCAAGCGUUGUUCGGAUUUACUGGGCGUAAAGGGCGCGUAGGCGGCCAGCACAAGUCAGUUGUGAAAUCUCCGAGCUUAACUCGGAAAGGUCAACUGAUACUGUGCGGCUAGAGUGCGGAAGGGGCAACUGGAAUUCUUGGUGUAGCGGUGAAAUGCGUAGAUAUCAAGAGGAACACCAGUGGCGAAGGCGAGUCUCUGGACAUUUCCUGACGCUGAGGCACGAAAGCCAGGGGAGCAAACGGG
rnacentral:rRNA from 1 species